rnacentral:rRNA from 1 species
AGACGGAAAGACCCCAUGGAGCUUUACUGCAGCUUGAUAUUGAAUUUGGGUACGAUCUGUACAGGAUAGGUGGGAGCCGUUGAACCUUGAGCGCCAGCUUGAGAGGAGGCAUCCUUGGGAUACCACCCUGAUCGUAUCUAGGUUCUAACUUGGUACCGUGAUCCGGUGCGAGGACAGUGUCAGGUGGGCAGUUUGACUGGGGCGGUCGCCUCCUAAAGAGUAACGGAGGCGCCCCAAGGUUCCCUCAGAAUGGUUGGAAAUCAUUCGAAGAGUGCAAAGGCAGAAGGGAGCUUGACUGCGAGACCUACAAGUCGAGCAGGGACGAAAGUCGGGCUUAGUGAUCCGGUGGUACCGCAUGGAAGGGCCAUCGCUCAACGGAUAAAAGCUACCCUGGGGAUAACAGGCUUAUCUCCCCCAAGAGUCCACAUCGACGGGGAGGUUUGGCACCUCGAUGUCGGCUCAUCGCAUCCUGGGGCUGAAGUAGGUCCCAAGGGUUGGGCUGUUCGCCCAUUAAAGCGGUACGCGAGCUGGGUUCAGAACGUCGUGAGACAGUUCGGUCCCUAUCUGUCGUGGGCGUAGGAAAUUUGAGAGGAGCUGUCCUUAGUACGAGAGGACCGGGAUGGACGUACCGCUGGUGUACCAGUUGUUCCGCCAGGAGCACCGCUGGGUAGCUAUGUACGGAAGGGAUAAGCGCUGAAAGCAUCUAAGCGUGAAGCCCCCCUCAAGAUGAGAUUUCCCAAUUAGUAAGACCCCUUGAAGACGACGAGGUAGAUAGGUUGGGGGUGGAAGUGCAGUAAUGCAUGGAGCUGACCAAUACUAAUCGGUCGAGGGCUUAUCCUAAA